rnacentral:rRNA from 1 species
AUUGAACGCUGGCGGCAGGCCUAACACAUGCCAGUCGAGCGAGUGGCGGACGGGUGAGUAAUGUCUGGGAAACUGCCUGCUGGAGGGGGAUAACUACUGGAAACGGUAGCUAAUACCGCAUACCAUCGGAUGUGCCCAGAUGGGAUUAGCUAGUAGGUGGGGUAACGGCUCACCUAGGCGACGAUGCCUAGCUGGUCCGAGGGGAUGACCAGCCGAACGGGAACUGGGACACGGUCCGAAGUCCAACGGGAGGACGCAGUGGGGUAUAGUGCACAAUGGGAGCAAGCGUGAUGGCGCGAUGCAGCGUGGAUGAGGAGGGGCUUCGGGUUGUAGAGUACUUUCAGCGGUGAGGCGUUACCCGCAGAAGAAGCGACGGCUAACUCCGUGCCAGCAGCCGCGGUAAUAC